GGAUGCGAUCAUACCAGCACUAAAGCAACGGAUCCCAUCAGAACUCCGAAGUUAAGCGUGCUUGGGCGAGAGUAGUACAAGGAUGGGUGACCUCCUGGGAAGUCCUCGUGUUGCAUUCC
rnacentral:rRNA from 1 species